UACGUAGGGUGCGAGCGUUGUCCGGAAUUAUUGGGCGUAAAGAGCUCGUAGGCGGUCUGUCGCGUCUGCUGUGAAAUCCCGAGGCUCAACCUCGGGCUUGCAGUGGGUACGGGCAGGCUAGAGUGCGGUAGGGGAGAAUGGAACUCCUGGUGUAGCGGCGGAAUGCGCAGAUAUCAGGAAGAACACCGAUGGCGAAGGCAGUUCUCUGGGCCGUAACUGACGCUGAGGAGCGAAAGCGUGGGGAGCGAACAGG
rnacentral:rRNA from 1 species